rnacentral:tRNA from 1 species
CAGAAUGUAGUUUAAUAAAAAUAAAGGCUUUGGGAGCGUUAGAUAGAAAUAAUGUUUCUUUUUCUGA